CCCCCGAUGGUCUAGUUGGUUCAUGGCGUCUGACUGUAAUGGGAAUUGUAAUCAGAAAAUCACCAGUUCGAUUCUGGUUCGGGGGA
rnacentral:tRNA from 2 species